CCUACGGGGGGCAGCAGUGGGGAAUCUUGCACAAUGGGCGAAAGCCUGAUGCAGCAACGCCGCGUGCGGGAAGAAGGCCCUAGGGUUGUAAACCGCUUUCAGUAGGGAAGAAAAUGACGGUACCUACAGAAGAAGGUGCGGCCAACUACGUGCCAGCAGCCGCGGUGACACGUAGGCACCAAGCGUUAUCCGGAUUUAUUGGGCGUAAAGAGCUCGUAGGCGGUUUGGUAAGUCGGGUGUGAAAACUCUGGGCUCAACCCAGAGAGGCCACUCGAUACUGCUAUGACUAGAGUACGGUAGGGGAGCGGGGAAUUCAUGGUGUAGCGGUGAAAUGCGCAGAUAUCAUGAGGAACACCAGCGGCGAAGGCGCCGCUCUGGGCCGUAACUGACGCUGAGGAGCGAAAGCAUGGGUAGCAAACAGGAUUAGAUACCCCGGUAGUC
rnacentral:rRNA from 1 species